rnacentral:tRNA from 2 species
UUUCGGGCCCAUACCCCGAAAAUGUCGGUUAAUACCUUCCCUUACUA